AAGGGACCUAGCGUAGUUCGGAAUUACUGGGCUUAAAGAGUUCGUAGGUGGUUGAAAAAGUUGGUGGUGAAAUCCCAGAGCUUAACUCUGGAACUGCCAUCAAAACUUUUCAGCUAGAGUAUGAUAGAGGAAAGCAGAAUUUCUAGUGUAGAGGUGAAAUCCGUAGAUAUUAGAAAGAAUACCAAUUACGAAGGCAGCUUUCUGGAUCAUUACUGACACUGAGGAACGAAAGCAUGGGUAGCGAAGAGGAUUAGAUACCCUCGUAGUCCAUGCCGUAAACGAUGUGUGUUAGACGUUGGAAAUUUAUUUUCAGUGUCGCAGGGAAACCGAUAAACACACCGCCUGGGGAGUACGACCGCAAGGUUAAAACUCAAAUGAAUUGACGGGGACCCGCACAAGUAGUGGAGCAUGUGGUUUAAUUCGAAGAUACGCGCAGAACCUUACCAACACUUGACAUGUUCGUCGCGACUCUAAGAGAUUAGAGUUUUCGGUUCGGCCGGACGAAGCACAGGUGCUGCAUGGCUGUCGUCAGCUCGUGUCGUGAGAUGUUGGGUUAAGUCCCGCAACGAGCGCAACCCUCACUUUUAGUUGCCAUCAUUAAGUUGGGCACUCUGAAAGAACUGCCAGUGAUAAGUUGGAGGAAGGUGGGGAUGACGUCAAGUCCUCAUGGCCCUUACGUGUUGGGCUACACACGUGCUACAAUGGCAUCUACAACAGGAAGCAAAACGGCAACGUUAAGCAAAUCCCGAAAAGAUGCCUCAGUUCGGAUUGCACUCUGCAGCUCGAGUGCAUGAAGCUGGAAUUACUAGUAAUCGUGGAUCAGCGUGCCACGGUGAAUGCGUUCCCGGGUCUUGUACACACCGCCCGUCACACCAUGGGAGUUGGUUCUACCUUAAGGCAAGGUUUUAAACCCUUGACCACGGUAUAGUCAGCGACUGGGGUGAAGUCGUAACAAGGUAGCCGUAGGGGAACCUGCGGCUGGAUUACCUCCUUUCUAAGGAUGAGUGAAAGUAAAAUUUCACUCUAAAUAAUAUACAUCGGUAAUGUUGACCGUCCUCAUUUCUCUUCUUAAAGUAAUGUUUCCUUCCUGUAGGGCCAGUAGCUCAGUUGGUUAGAGCACACCCUUGAUAAGGGUGGGGUCGAAAGUUCGAGUCUUUCUCGGCCCACCAAAAACCUAAAUGGGGGAUUAGCUCAUCUGGGAGAGCGCCUGAUUUGCAUUCAGGAGGUAGCAGGUUCGAUCCCUGUAUCCUCCACCAGGAAACAUUUAGUUAUUAAAACUGUAAAUAAAAAUAAUUUAUAUCAAUAUCUAUAUCCGAACAUUAAAAGUUAUUAUUUAAUGUUCAAAAUAAAAAUUUGAUCACAACAUAGAUAAAUUUUCUGUUAAAAGAAUUUUUUUCUGUGCAUAAAUCAAGCGUUUAAGGGCGUGUAGUGGAUGCCUUGGCGCUGAAAGCCGAUGAAGGACGUGAUAUACUGCGAUAAGUUUCGGGGAGCUGUAUGUAAGCUUUGAUCCGAAAAUUU
rnacentral:sRNA from 1 species